rnacentral:rRNA from 1 species
AAUGAAGCGRGAACAGCUCAAAUUUCCAAUCUCCGUCGCCUGCGACGGCGAAUUGUAGUUUCGAGAAGCGCUUUCUAGGCGAUCCGGCGCCGUCCAAGUUGCUUGGAACAGCACGUCGCAAAGGGUGACAACCCCGUUCGCGGCGGACGCCGGACGCUCACGAUGCGUUUUCCACGAGUCGGGUUGUUUGGGAAUGCAGCCCAAAACGGGUGGUAAACUCCAUCUAAAGCUAAAUACUGGCACGAGACCGAUAGCGAACAAGUACCGUGAGGGAAAGAUGAAAAGCACUUUGAAAAGAGAGUUAAAAAGUACGUGAAACCGUUAAAAGGGAAACGAAUGGGGUUAGCAAUGCGCCGCGCGAGAUUCAGACGGCGGACGGGCCGGGCGCGAGGUUCGCGGAUCCGAACGGACCGCGGCCCCGCGUGCUCCGGUCCCGCCGCCUUCGCACUUCUCGCCGGCGCGCGUCAGCGUCGGUUGGGGCUGGGUCUCAAAGGCGCCGGGAAGGUGGGUCCGACCCUUCGGGGACGGAUCGUUAUAGCCCGGCGUUCGCUCAUGGCUCGGCCCCGACCGAGGCGCCCUUCUACGCGGCGCGUGCCUCUUCUGGCUGGGGUCCCGUCGCGCCGGUCGGCGGUCGACUGCGGUGGACUGCAUGCAGUGCAUCGCGACCGCCGUCGGUCGCCGCGGCGGUGACCUCACACCACGCGCCCAGGACGCUGGCGGUCACAUGGCCUCAUCCGACCCGUCUUGAAACACGGACCAAGGAGUCUAACAUGUGCGCGAGUCUUCGAGUGACCGAAACUCGCCGGCGCAAUGAAAGUGAAGGCGGCCCUGGCGCCGCCGAGGUGAGAACCCCGCGUGAUAGCGGGGCGCAUCAUCGACCGACCUGUUCUACUCUUAG